rnacentral:lncRNA from 1 species
CCGUGUGAAUUUUACCUACAUUUUCUGUCAAGCCAAUGCAGGAUAGUUUUAGAGCUCAAUAAGUAAAGUGAACUGACACGCAUACAGAAAACAUCUAAGAGAAGCUAUCGCACCAUAUAUCCAGCAAAAGAAAGAGCAUGCUGCUUCUGCAGAAGGUAGCAUGUCCUCUGCAGCAGGGAAGCCACGGUCGGUCCGCACCCGUCCUUUUACACUACGGAUCACUCUGAGAAUACAGGGGAGAGCCGUAGCUCUGGAUGGUGGAGUCAGUGUGUUCCGUUCCUGAAUUCCUUGCGCUCUUGAGACGUGGAAGAACAAUCAUGAAUAUGAGGAGAAGGGAGAAAACGAGGACGAGGAUGAGCAUCGUGAGCUCUCCAUGAAGAGCAUAUCGACUGUCGGCUGAGAAGCGAAGGGCGUCUCGCGGCCCUGGUGGUCGUGCGUCGGGAGGCAUGGCCGGUGAGGUCUCCGGAACGUGGCGGGAGGAGAGGGAGGAGGUGGCCAUGUCGGUCUCCCUCGCUCUUGCCCGUUGCUUCGUCGUGUCUUUUCCUUCCCGUCGGUUUAAUGCAUGUUGACUCCUAUGUAACACAACAAAACUCUGAGUCUCUUUUCACAUCUCACCC